CUUGUUUCACAGGUACAGGGGAAACGAACGGGACCACCUCAGUCAGCGACAGUCCCGCAAAAGUCCCGCCUGAGUCUCGCAUGAGAGGCGGCGUCAAUCGGAUAACGGAAUCUCCCAUGGCUUCGGUGGCGCCGCCGGAACCCUUGUUGAAGGUAGCCGAUCUCCCCGGACGCGGCCGGGCACUCGUCGCCACCCGCCCCAUUAAACCCGGCGAGGUCCUCCUCUCCGACUCCCCCCUCCUUCUCUACCCUGCUACCCUCCCCUCCGCCGCCGUCUUCCCCUUUUGCUCCCGCUGCUUCCGUUCCUUCCGCUCCGUCGCGACCUCCUCCUCCGUCUCCACCGGAGGAGGCCCCCUACCGUGCCCCUCCUGUGCCUCCCUCUCUCUCUUCUGCUCCCGCCGCUGUCUCUCCCUCGCCGUGACCUCUUCCCAUUCCUCCUGGCUCUGCCGCGCCCUCCUCCACCUUCCCUCCCUCCCCGUCGACCUCCACGCCCCCGCCCUCUUCCUCCUUGCCGCCUACAACCUCGCCGCCUCCUCCCCGUCCGACUUUCUCCGCCUCCUCUCUCUGGAGGGCGCCCUCCCAGACGCCCCCGAGGCCGCCGCCCUCCACCCCUUCGUCGCCUCCCUCCUUCCCCGGCCCCUCCCCUCCGGCUUCUCGCCGGAGCUCACCGCCGCGCUCCUCGCCAAGGAUAAAAGUAACGCCUUUGGCCUGAUGGAGCCGUUCCGGGAGGAGGACGCCGGGGAGAGGAGGGUGAGGGCUUAUGGGAUCUACCCUAAUGCCUCCUUCUUCAACCAUGACUGCCUUCCGAAUGCUUGCAGGUUCGAUUAUGUCGAUGGUGAUGGGGAUCGGAACACUGACAUUGUGGUGAGAGCUAUCCAUGACAUCCCAGAGGGGAGGGAGGUGUGCUUGAGUUAUUUCCCUGUUAAUUGGAGCUACGCUGAGAGGCAGAGGAGGCUGACAGAGGACUAUGGGUUCCAGUGCGAGUGUGAUAGGUGUCAGGUGGAGAAGAAUUGGAAGGAUGAUGAGGAAGUGGAGAGCAUGGAAGAGGAGGAGGAGGAGGGAGGUGAAGGGAUGGAGACUUUGGAGGAAGAGAAUAAUGAAGGAGGAGAUGGGGAUGGGGAUUUUCCUCAUGCCUAUUUCUUUGUAAGGUAUCUGUGUGAUAGGGAGAACUGUGGAGGAACAUUGGCCCCUCAGCCACCAUCGCCUCAUGGUACACUGUCGAAUGUAAUGGAGUGCAAUGUCUGUGGCCAGUUGAGGAUGGAAGAUAACAUCAAUGAAGAUGUUGCUGAAGAUGGUGAUGGUAGUAUGAUCGAUGAAUGAACUUGAUUGCCAGUUUUUGCAGGUACGCAACUUCUCUCUUUCCUUCUGUAUGGCAAGCUCAUAAAUGCUGCAGGAGGUAGAAUAGCUGAUCUUUUAGAUCUUCCAUUUGAGAUUCGAGUAGCAGCACUGUUAGUAGGGUUUGGAGGGACCCAGGGCAGAGUUACAAAUUCCAGUCCUGUGACAGCAAGCAUUUGGGAUUCUGGAAGACUGAGAUGCAAAGCUUCUUCAGGUUUGCAAAUAUUGUUGUAUUGAAGGCUUGGGAUGAGGUCGCCAUGGCACCUCGUUUGGAAGUUUCUCACAACGUUUUGGGUUCUCUUGAGUGCAUCAUCAAAAGUAUGAGCAUUGUGUUUUGAUGUACUGGCUCUAGAUCCGACAUCAUAGUUAUACUGCAGUCAUAUAAUACAGAGUCAAAAACCACUACAGCUGUUUUACCUCA